UACGAAGGGGGCUAGCGUUGUUCGGAAUCACUGGGCGUAAAGCGCACGUAGGCGGAUCGUUAAGUCAGGGGUGAAAUCCCGAGGCUCAACCUCGGAACUGCCUUUGAUACUGGCGAUCUUCGAGUCCGGGAGAGGUGAGUGGAACUCCGAGUGUAGAGGUGAAAGUCGUAGAUAUUCGGAAGAACACCAGUGGCGAAGGCGACUCGCUGGACAAGUAUUGACGCUGAGGUGCGAAAGCGUGGGGAGCAAACAGG
rnacentral:rRNA from 1 species